AGAGUUUGAUCCUGGCUCAGGACGAACGCUGGCGGCGUGCUUAACACAUGCAAGUCGGACGGUUCGCACUGGAAGGUUCGCUGGAAGGUGCGGAUAGUGGCGGACGGGUGAGUAACGCGUGAGGACAUGGCACCAGGAGGGGGAUAACGUUUGGAAACGGACGCUAAGACCCCGUAAGCCGGGAGGUGAAAGUGGCGGAAGCCAGCCUGGUGAGUGACUCGCGUCCUAUCAGCUAGUUGGGGGGGUGACGGCCCACCAAGGCGAUGACGGGUAGCCGACCUGAGAGGGUGGCCGGCCACACUGGGACUGCGACACGGCCCAGACUCCUACGGGAGGCAGCAGUGGGGAAUAUUGGGCAAUGGGCGCAAGCCUGACCCAGCGACGCCGCGUGGGGGAAGAAGUCUUUCGGGACGUAAACCCAUGUUGUACGGGACGAAGGAAGUGACGGUACCGUACGAGGAAGCCCCGGCAAACUACGUGCCAGCAGCCGCGGUAAUACGUAGGGGGCGAGCGUUGUCCGGAAUCACUGGGCGUAAAGCGCACGUAGGCGGGCUGUUAAGUCGGCCGUGAAAUACACUGGCUCAACCGGUGCAGGUCGGUCGAUACUGGCGGUCUGGAGUAUGGGAGAGGGAACUGGAAUUCCCGGUGUAGCGGUGAAAUGCGUAGAUAUCGGGAGGAACACCAGUGGCGAAGGCGGGUUCCUGGCCCAUGACUGACGCUGAGGUGCGAAAGCCGGGGGAGCGAACGGGAUUAGAUACCCCGGUAGUCCCGGCUGUAAACGAUGGAUGCUAGGUGUGGGGAGGUUCCUCUCUGUGCCGCAGCUAACGCGAUAAGCAUCCCGCCUGGGGAGUACGAUCGCAAGAUUGAAACUCAAAGGAAUUGACGGGGGCCCG
rnacentral:rRNA from 1 species